GAGUCGAGUUGUUUGGGAAUGCAGCUCAAAAUGGGUGGUAAAUUUCAUCUAAAGCUAAAUACUGGCUGGAGACCGAUAGCGCACAAGUAGAGUGAUCGAAAGAUGAAAAGCACUUUGGAAAGAGAGUCAAAAAGUACGUGAAAUUGUUGAAAGGGAAGCGCUUGCAACCAGACCUGUCCGUGGGUGAUCAGCCGCCGUUCUCGGUGGUGCACUCGCCUACGAUCAGGCCAGCAUCGGUUCGGGCGGCCGGACAAAGGCCUUGGGAAUGUAGCUCCUCUCGGGGAGUCUUAUAGCCCUCGGUGCAAUGUGGCCAGCCCGGACCGAGGACCGCGCUUCGGCUAGGAUGCUGGCGUAAUGGUUGUAAGCGACCCGUCUUGAAACACGGACCAAGGAGUCUAACAUCUAUGCGAGUGUUUGGGUGUUAAACCCAUACGCGGAAUGAAAGUGAACGGAGGUGAGAACCCUUUAGGGCGCAUCAUCGACCGAUCCAGAUGUCUUCGGAUGGAUUUGAGUAUGAGCAUAGCUGUUGGGACCCGAAAGAUGGUGAACUAUGCCUGAAUAGGGUGAAGCCAGAGGAAACUCUGGUGGAGGCUCGCAGCGGU
rnacentral:rRNA from 1 species